AACAUUGAUAUGACAUCAUAACAUUGAUAUGACGUCAUAACAUUGAUAUGACGUCAUAACAUUGAUAUGACGUCAUAACAUUGAU